GGAGGUCGGCUUGCGGGCGGACCGCUCGCCAACCCGGUCAGGUCCGGAAGGAAGCAGCCGUAACGAGUUUUGGUCCGGGUCGCUUGUCCGGUCUCCCAC
rnacentral:SRP_RNA from 1 species